rnacentral:rRNA from 1 species
ACUCCUACGGGAGGCAGCAGUGGGGAAUAUUGCACAAUGGGCGCAAGCCUGAUGCAGCCAUGCCGCGUGUAUGAAGAAGGCCUUCGGGUUGUAAAGUACUUUCAGCAGUGAGGAAGGCGGAGUCGGUUAAUAGCGGCCUCGUUUGACGUUAGCUGCAGAAGAAGCACCGGCUAACUCCGUGCCAGCAGCCGCGGUAAUACGGAGGGUGCGAGCGUUAAUCGGAAUUACUGGGCGUAAAGCGCAAUGCAGGUGGUUCGUUAAGUCAGAUGUGAAAGCCCGGGGCUCAACCUCGGAAUUGACAUUUGAAACUGGCAGACUAGAGUACUGUAGAGGGGGGUAGAAUUUCAGGUGUAGCGGUGAAAUGCGUAGAGAUCUAGAAGG